rnacentral:lncRNA from 1 species
UACUCUAUGUAUCAAUGUUUAAAUAUAAACAUGUAAAUUCUAAGAGCUUUGUUAAAAAUUUAAAAAUUUUAUUGGUUGAGUGAAACUGAUGAGGUAUGGAAAAAGUCAAUAUGAUUUACUAAGAAUAUUUUCUGUAUUUGUAAAUUAACUAGGUCAGACCACAGCUAGUGAACAAUUUCAGCACCAAUAAGUUAUUCAAAAUGGGAUUUUAUACCAUUAAGAAAUACAAUGGCUAGAUAUUCAAAUGUCAAGGUCAAGGUAUAAUUUGAAAGACACCAAAUUCCUGGGGAAAAAAAUCCUUUUUCAUAGUUUUUUCUCAUUACCUUCACAAUAUUAGUUGCACUCUGCUUGAAAUCAUAUGCAGUCUGGGAAUAUCAAAUAAAUGAUGAUAUUUAAGAAAUUGAAGCCCUAGUCCCAACUCUAGCACUAUGAAAUGAUUCAACACUGCACAAUGAAUAAAAUUCCCUAACAGUUAAUGACAUUUAAAAAAUGUGCAAAACUGCAAAACUCAUUGUAAUAGAAUGUGUAAGGUCAAAAGGGUGGGACGGCUGACAGCUACUGGAUUGAAUAAGUGCAUCAUAAAUCUUUAAAGAAAAAAACCGCUUACUGUAGAAUCUCAAAUUGAAAUUUCCUGUGUAGCAUUACAAAAUAUUUUAUAUUUAAUGAGGAAAAAAAGAAGCUUGCAGGCAGCACUUGAAGCAUCCACAGCAGGUAUAUGAUUGAAAACUAAUAAAGUAUAAAUUGUUGACUGAUGUAGGUACUAAUAGCAUCUGACUUUUAGCACUGGCCUUGAUUACACAGGAGAUGGAGCAGUCAUUACAAUUGAGAAAACAUAUUUAAUAAAUCAUUGUCAAUUUCUAUAAUGUUUCAAGCCCGUUCUUUGUUGAUAGCCUCCACAUUUAUAUGGUUAAGUCAUUGUUGCUGUGUUUCGUUCAUUCCUGUACCCCAAAACAGAUUC